CCAAGGAGUCUAACAUGUGCGCGAGUCAUUGGGUCUUGUUCAGGCCCAGAGGCGCAAUGAAAGUGAAGGACGCCCCAGUCGGUGUCUGCGUUGGGAUCCCGGGGCCGCGAGCCCCGGGCGCACCAACGGCCCGUCCCGUCCGCCACGUCGGUGGGACGGAGCGAGAGCGUACACGUUGGGACCCGAAAGAUGGUGAACUAUGCCUGGGCAGGACGAGGCCAGAGGAAACUCUGGUGGAGGUCCGCAGCGAUUCUGACGUGCAAAUCGAUCGUCAGACCUUGGUAUAGGGGCGAAAGACUAAUCGAACCGUCUAGUAGCUGGUUCCCUCCGAAGUUUCCCUCAGGAUAGCUGGUGCUCGAUCGGAAUCAGUCUCAUCCGGUAAAGCGAAUGAUUAGAGGCCUUGGGGCCGAAACGACCUCAACCUAUUCUCAAACUUUCAAUGGGUGAGAAGUCCGGUUUACCCGACUGAAGCCCGGACGAUUCUCAGGAUGUGAGUGCCCAGUGGGCCACUUUU
rnacentral:rRNA from 1 species